rnacentral:rRNA from 1 species
UACAGGGGGGGCUAGCGUUGCUCGGAAUCACUGGGCGUAAAGCGCACGUAGGCGGCUUUCUAAGUCAGGGGUGAAAGCCCACGGCUCAACCGUGGAAGUGCCUUUGAUACUGCUUGUCUUGAGGGAGGUAGGGGCGUGCGGAACUUCCGGUGGAGCGGUGAAAUGCGUAGAUAUCGGAAGGAACACCGGUGGCGAAAGCGGCGCGCUGGACCUCUACUGACGCUGAGGCGCGAAAGCCAGGGGAGCAAACGGG